rnacentral:lncRNA from 1 species
UUCGAUUUAUAUUGACUUAAUAGUGGAGUGAAAGAUAUGAUCGAUGAUUGAGAUUGACAUAAUUCCAUAUCUCGUAAUUGAUCGGAUCAUAUUGACGAAGGGAUUAUAGUUUCACGGUAAACGAACGAAUUUGGUUUUGUCAUACCACGUGACAUUUCCCCUCACAUGUAUUGCCCUGACACAUUGCUAGAUGUCAAUCAGGGACGGCGAUUGUGAAUUGACGAUAAAUUAAAAGGGUGUUUUAAUUUAUCAAUUUUGAUUAGAUCAAAAUAAUAUUUCACGUCGUUAGGCAUCGUGGUCGGGAACCUAAUGGGUCACACACAAAAGAGAAUUGGAAGAUUGCAAAUUGCCAAUUAGUUAAUUUAACAAUCGUUGGAUAAAUUAAUUAAUUGGAUUUGUUAUUUAUAUUUUCGAAUUAAUUAAUUGGAUUAAUUGAUUCACGGACCGGGUUUAAUUAAUUGGAUUAAUUAAUUAUUGGACCGGACCGGGCCGAGCCUAUUUGGGUUUAUAUAAAUAUAUAACUAGGGUUUGAGGUCCAUUAAGGUUUUCAUUAUUCUUGCUAGCACAAGAGAAAACCCUAGAGGCUGCAAUCAAAUUCUCUGUGUGGAUCACCGUUGGAGGCUGGACAAUUGGACAGCUGUGGUGGCGAAUCAAAGUUGUGGAACAAAAGAAAAGCAAAAGGAUUGCAGAUCUGGAAAAGGUACAAUCCUAUCACAAUUCCUAACCAAACACAAUGAGAUCUAUUGGAUGGGAAUCGAAAUAUAUUUUAAAUUCCGCUGUGCAUGUAUAAGUAGAUUCCCAACAG